rnacentral:rRNA from 1 species
AGAGUUUGAUUCUGGCUCAGAACGUACGCUGGCGGCACGCCUAACACAUGCAAGUCGAACGAAGUAGCAAUACUUAGUGGCAGACGGGUGAGUAACAUGUAGGUAUCUGCCCUUUGGCCUGGAAUAACACGAGGAAACUUGUGCUAAUACCGGAUAAGUCUUUACGGAGAAAGCUUUAUGCACCAUUGGAUGAGCCUGCACUUGAUUAGUUUGUUGGUGGGGUAAUGGCCUACCAAGACUGUGAUCAAUAGCUGAUUUGAGAGGAUGAUCAGCCACAUUGGGACUGAGACACGGCCCAAACUCCUACGGGAGGCAGCAGUGGGGAAUCUUGCACAAUGGAGGAAACUCUGAUGCAGCGAUGCCGCGUGAGUGAAGAAGGCCUUUGGGUUGUAAAGCUCUUUCGUCGGGGAAGAAAAUGACUGUACCCGAAUAAGAAGGUCCGGCUAACUUCGUGCCAGCAGCCGCGGUAAUACGAAGGGACCUAGCGUAGUUCGGAAUUACUGGGCUUAAAGAGUUCGUAGGUGGUUGAAAAAGUUAGUGGUGAAAUCCCAGAGCUUAACUCUGGAACUGCCAUUAAAACUUUUCAGCUAGAGUAUGAUAGAGGAAAGCAGAAUUUCUAGUGUAGAGGUGAAAUUCGUAGAUAUUAGAAAGAAUACCAAUUGCGAAGGCAGCUUUCUGGAUCAUUACUGACACUGAGGAACGAAAGCAUGGGUAGCGAAGAGGAUUAGAUACCCUCGUAGUCCAUGCCGUAAACGAUGUGUGUUAGACGUUGGAAAUUUAUUUUCAGUGUCGCAGGGAAACCGAUAAACACACCGCCUGGGGAGUACGACCGCAAGGUUAAAACUCAAAUGAAUUGACGGGGACCCGCACAAGUAGUGGAGCAUGUGGUUUAAUUCGAAGAUACGCGCAGAACCUUACCAACACUUGACAUGUUCGUCGCGACUCUAAGGGAUUAGAGUUUUCGGUUCGGCCGGACGAAACACAGGUGCUGCAUGGCUGUCGUCAGCUCGUGUCGUGAGAUGUUGGGUUAAGUCCCGCAACGAGCGCAACCCUCACUUUUAGUUGCCAUCAUUAAGUUGGGCACUCUGAAAGAACUGCCAGUGAUAAGCUGGAGGAAGGUGGGGAUGACGUCAAGUCCUCAUGGCCCUUACGUGUUGGGCUACACACGUGCUACAAUGGUAUCUACAACAGGAAGCAAGACUGCGAAGUUAAGCAAAUCCCUAAAAGAUACCUCAGUUCGGAUUGCACUCUGCAACUCGAGUGCAUGAAGCUGGAAUUACUAGUAAUCGUGGAUCAGCGUGCCACGGUGAAUGCGUUCCCGGGUCUUGUACACACCGCCCGUCACACCAUGGGAGUUGGUUCUACCUUAAGGCAAGGUUUCAAACCCUUGACCACGGUAUAGUCAGCGACUGGGGUGAAGUCGUAACAAGGUA